rnacentral:ncRNA from 2 species
UGCUCAUCCAGAGGGGUGGAGGGACCGGCCCUGCGAAGCCCCGGCAACCAUCUCGGUACGCGAGACUCACGUUCCCUGUGAGACGUCCGAGACAGGUGCCAACUCCGGCCUGGGGUCAAGGUGGCCACCAGGGAAGAUGAGGG